GUAGGUGAACCUGCGGAAGGAUCAUUAACGAGUUAGGGUCUUCCAGGCCCGACCUCCCAACCCUAUGUUUAUUGAACCACUGUUGCUUCGGUGGGCCCGUCUCGCGGCCGCCGGAGGACCGCUGAAAGGCGUCCUCUGGCCCGCGUCCGCCGAUGGCCAACCACUUAAACUCUGAAUGAAUCGUGUCAUAUGUCUAAGUCCAUGAUUAAAUUAAAGCAAAACUUUCAACAACGGAUCUCUUGGUUCUG
rnacentral:misc_RNA from 1 species